rnacentral:rRNA from 1 species
GGAGCAUGAGGAAUGGCUACUACAUCUAAGGGUGGCAGCAGGCGCGAAAAUUGCCCAAUACAGACUCUGUGAGGCAGUGACAAAACAUAACAAUGACGUGGUUGAUAAAACUAUGUCAAUUGGAAUGAGAACGAUAGAAAAGAUUUAACGAGAAACAAGAAGAGGGCAAGUCUGGUGCCAGCAGCCGCGGUAAUACCAGCUCUUCUAGCAUAUAUUAAAGUUGCUGCAGUUAAAACGCUCGUAGUUUGAAUUAUUUCGGUUGCCGGCGGCUGGAAAAUUUAAUUUUUCAAGUCGUCGGCGGCUGAAUUAAAGUUGGGGUGGAGCUGAUUAAUUUCUCUUCAUCCAGAUAACCUUGAAAAAAUAUUGUCGCUCAAAAAAGGACGGAAUGUCUAUUGAGAUUUCAGCAUGGGAUUAUGGAAAAAGGGGAGUUGGUUCAAGAGGGGGUAAAAGCCUGAUUGGCCUUCUUCCAAUGGUUAAUGAGGACGAUGCGUGGGAGUUCAUAUUAAAUUGUCAGAGGUGAAAUUCUUGGAUUAAUUUAAGAUGAACAUCAGCGAAGGCGUUCUUCAAGUGCGUGCCUGUCGAUCAAGAACGAAAGUUGGGGGAUCGAAGACGAUCAGAUACCGUCGUAGUCUCAACCUUAAACUAUGCCGACUAUGAAUAGGAUAUCGUUUUAAGAAGUGUGUAAAAAGCAUUUCUGAUGACUUCUCCUGCGCAUUAAAAGAAAUUAAGAGUUUUUGGGUUCCGGGGGGAGUAUAGUCGCAAGGCCGAAACUUAAAGGAAUUGACGGAAGGGCACCACCAGGUGUGGAGCCUGCGGCUUAAUUUGACCCAACACGGGGAAACUUACCAGGUCCAGACAGCGUGAGGAUUGACAGAUUGAUAGCUCUUUCAUGAUUCGUUGGGUGGUGGUGCAUGGCCGUUCUUAGUUGGUGGUGUGAGUUGUCUGGUUGAUUCCGUUAACGAUCGAGACCUUUGUUGUAUAAUACGAGGCGCUAGUUUUUGCGCAAAGGGUGGUGGUUCCUUCUCGAGAUACGAGCAAUCGCCUUGGGAAAAGAGCCAUCACUUGCAUAGCUAGCGUCAGUUUCGUUCUAUACAAGACAAAUACAGAAAAUGUAUUGGAAGUUAUAGGCAAAAACAGGUCUGUGAUGCCCUUCGAUGUUCUGGGCUGCACGCGCGCUACAAUGACAAUGUCAGCGAGUUUUUUAGCUUGGGCGAAAGCUCUGGCAAAUCUUCGAAACGUUGUCGUACUAUGGAUUGUUGAUUGCAACUAUUCGACAUAAAACAGGAAUACCUAGUAGACGUGCUUCAUCAGAGUACGUCGAUUACGUCCCUGCCCUUUGUACACACCACCCGUCGCUCCUACCGAUUGGAACAUACGGUGAAAAUCUCGGAGAAGGCAGUUCUUGCUACAGAGUU